UACGGGGGGGGCUAGCGUUGUUCGGAAUUACUGGGCGUAAAGGGCUCGUAGGCGGCCCACUAAGUCGGAUGUGAAAUCCCCAGGCUUAACCUGGGAACUGCAUCCGAUACUGGAUGGCUUGAAUCCGGGAGAGGGAUGCAGAAUUCCAGGUGUAGCGGUGAAAUGCGUAGAUAUCUGGAGGAAUACCGGUGGCGAAGGCGGCAUCCUGGACCGGCAUUGACGCUGAUGAGCGAAAGCUAGGGGAGCAAACGGG
rnacentral:rRNA from 1 species